rnacentral:rRNA from 1 species
GACGGAGGAUGCAAGCGUUAUCCGGAAUUAUUGGGCGUAAAGCGUCCGCAGGUGGCUGUUCAAGUCUGCUGUCAAAGCGCAGAGCUUAACUCUGUACAGGCGGUGGAAACUGAAGAGCUAGAGUAUGGUAGGGGUAGAGGGAAUUCCUGGUGUAGCGGUGAAAUGCGUAGAGAUCAGGAAGAACAUCGGUGGCGAAGGCGCUCUGCUGGACCAUAACUGACACUCAGGGACGAAAGCUAGGGGAGCGAAUGGG